rnacentral:tRNA from 3 species
GAAAUAUGAAAGAAAUCAAAAUAAGCUUCUAACUUAAUUUAUAGUGGUUAAAUUCCAUUAAUAUUUCU